rnacentral:rRNA from 1 species
ACCUCGGGUGACAGGGAGACAGGUGGUGCAUGGUCGUCGUCAGCUCGUGUCGUGAGAUGUUGGGUUAAGUCCCGCACGAGCGCAACCCCUACGUUUAGUUGCUAACGCGUGAAGGCGAGCACUCUAGACGAACUGCCGUUGACAAAACGGAGGAAGUGGGAUGACGUCAAAUCAUCAUGCCCCUUAUGUUCUGGGCUACACACGUGCUACAAUGGCCGGUACAGACGGACGCAAAGCCGCGAGGUGGAGCAAAUCCUAAAAAGCCGGUCUCAGUUCGGAUUGCAGGCUGCAAUUCGCCUGCAUGAAGUCGGAAUCGCUAGUAAUCGCAGGUCAGCAUACUGCGGUGAAUACGUUCCCGGGCCUU